UUGGUCGUAUAGAUAGAGAGCUAAUGUCUCCGGGCUUUGAAGAAAAACCGAGAUCCUCUCACAUCGUACCGUGCCCGUGUCUUGGAUGCCUCAGUCAAAGUGUCCUUGCGGCAAAUACGUGCCGAUGCCGACGGCAGAGGAAUGCCUUUGUUGUCGCGAAAUGAGACCUUACUGAAGCAGUGCAGCGGUUGCAUUUCAAGAAACCAGUACUUUGAAAUACUGUGGCUGGACACUCGGGUGCUUCAGGUGUCCGACUGCUACUACGCCCUUAUCAGGAACAGCGAAGUGAACAAGAGCUUGUGGGCAGCACUGAAUGACUGCCAUCUUGACAGAGGUACACUGGAUGGUUUGGUCGUGAACACCGCAAGAUCACAACAGUAUCCCUUUCAUGCACAAUAGAGGUCUGCCAUAUACCCCUCUCGAGUGACCAGGCAGCCACUAUACACAGUAAAAUACAUUCUACAAGCAUCAAAGCUUGUAAAUAUUGCUUUAUUGAUCCAUGUGUUUAUGAAUGAACAUAUGAGUGACAGCGAUAAACAAAAAGGAAGGGAGGAGAACAUCUCCGUGUUGUGUCCAUAUCACUUUGCAAGUGCUUCACCUCCCACCAACCAGUAACGCAAUGUAGGCAUGCUAUUUUUUUUUCUUUUCAGUGCACAGGUGUCUGCUACAAACACGUUCCAGUCCGUAAGCUCUAAGAGAACAUAGGCUAUCAGUUGCCUAUCAAACAUCACAUGGUUUCAUGACUUCUUCACCAGUAUAAGAAAGGCCUCAGGUGGGGACAUGCCAAUGUCUUCAACAGAGGCUCCUCUAUCAUUGACUCCGCAAGCACGUGAAGAAAAAUUUUAGACAUUUUCUGUGCACAUCCGUCUUCGUAACCCUUUCUGAAUUUCUCAUUAGAAACUUCCCAUGUUUUCCCUCAUACCAGUCCAAUUGCAGUCCUUGGUGCUGGCUCAGGGCUUUUGCAUACCGCUACUAUUUCACUGUAGCUCACACCUUUGCAAGUUGUCGGUGUUUCACGCAGGAGAUAAUCUACAUCCUCUGCCAAGAAAAUAUAAUAUGGUCAUGGCUAGUACUCUUUAUAUCGAAACAUGAUCCCUCAUGAGUGUCAUGGUUGAUAACGUGCCGGGUCAAACCCUUAUGGGGGAUUUCAGACAGUUUCAAUUCAACACAUCUUUGUGUUCUUGCACUGUUUUAGAUAACAAUUGCAAAGUUACAGCAACACGCUAGAGAGGACAGUACUAUCCCGACGAUAACGCUCUGCCAGGCUGAAUUGCCAGGCUACAGCUACUCGCAUCUGCAAUCGGUGUGACGUCGGUGAAUUCCGUGACGACGUGCUGCAACAGUACAUUUAAGCUCGUUGGAGCGACCGGGCCUCGCAGUCUUGGGGGGGGGGGGGGAUUUCAGACAGUUUCGACUCAUCUUUGUGUCCUUGCACUGUUUUAGGUUAGUCUGACGUUCCUCAUUGUAUCUAGCAAUUUAAGGUUUUUGCCUCUACCACUCCCCACAAGACUGCUUGGGUGAAACAUUCCAGAGUGUCUAAAUAUGUCUACGACAGAGAAUGAACUGUGCUUCUCUUGUAUGCAAAGUGUUACGGUGGAUAUGAAUGGUAUCCGUUGCUCUAGGUACCACAGUCUGUAUAUCGCGACGGGAAAUGUUCAGAUAUGACCAAAACCUCCGUGACAGAUACAGAACGAAGUGAAUGGGUCUGCGGUACAUGUAACACAUGCGAUAAGGGGGAUCCAAGUCAUUAUCGGUAGAACCGUCCCUGUCCACCAUAUUGCUUGAGGUUCGUCAGAAUGGUGCAAAAAUGAACCUUCCACUCGAGAAAAUUCAUGCUCUAGAAAAGAAAGUAGACGACUUAACAUCAAAACACGAAGCCAUAACAUCACGUGUUGUAAACAAUGAAGUUCAGAUAAUGCACCUAAAUGAACAGUUAGAAAAAAGCAACAGCGUCAUUAAAAAGUAAGGAAGAUGAAAUUAAAACGAUAAGGUCUAGUUUGGGCGACCUUGCAAUACAGUCGCCGAUGCAACGUAGAAAUUAGAGGUCUUCCAUGUGUACCUGGAGAAGAUAUCCUGAAAGAGAUAAACAACAUUGCAUCGCAAAUCGGCGUUAUCCCAAGCAGCAAAAUGUACUGAAAGUCG